rnacentral:rRNA from 1 species
GCAAGUCGAACGAGAAAUUUCCUGCUUGCAGGGGAGAGUAAAGUGGCGCACGGGUGAGUAACGCGUGGGUAACCUACCCUUGAAACCGGGAUAACUUCGCGAAAGCGAUGCUAAUACCGGAUAUUGUCUCUGGGACUGUGGUUUUGGAGAUGAAAGGUGACCUCUUCAUGAAAGUUGCCGUUUAAGGAUGGGCUCGCGUACCAUUAGCUAGUUGGUGGGGUAAUGGCCCACCAAGGCGACGAUGGUUAGCCGACCUGAGAGGGUGAUC